GUUACAUCUAGACCGUCGGUCUAUCGAGCAAUUACACCCGCUCGGUGGAAGAUCUUCCCCUUAUCGU
rnacentral:pre_miRNA from 1 species